rnacentral:rRNA from 1 species
UACGGGAGGUGCGAGCGUUGUUCGGAAUCACUGGGCGUAAAGCGCACGUAGGCGGACUCUUAAGUCGGGGGUGAAAUCCUGGAGCUCAACUCCAGAACUGCCUUCGAUACUGGGAGUCUCGAGUUCGGGAGAGGUGAGUGGAACUGCGAGUGUAGAGGUGAAAUUCGUAGAUAUUCGCAAGAACACCAGUGGCGAAGGCGGCUCACUGGCCCGAUACUGACGCUGAGGUGCGAAAGCGUGGGGAGCAAACAGG